GUCGGGAUAGCUCAGCUGGUAGAGCAGAGGACUGAAAAUCCUCGUGUCA
rnacentral:tRNA from 30 species